rnacentral:tRNA from 1 species
ACGUCGAUGGUGCGGUUCCAGUGUUCGAGGGUGAGUUCCUCGGCGACGCCGCCGGUGGCGAUGCCGGCGUUGUUGAAGACGACGUCGAUCCG